rnacentral:tmRNA from 1 species
GGGGAUGAAAGGUUUCGACAAAAGACGCUCUUUAAAACAGCAGGCCGAGCGCCAACUCGUUAAUCCGGCAAACAAACAAUAACUGCCAAAAAUAAUUUGGUUCCGGCGUUAGCUUUUGCUUAAUGCCGCAUCCCUUAUCAGUCGCUCAAACCGAUAAGAAGGGUGUCAUAAAUUGAGCUUAUCCGUUAAAAAGCCGGUUUUAGCGGAAACAUUUACGGCAAAGAGUUUGGAAUUUUUAGUCGCUAAAUUCUAUAUUCUAAAUUCUCAAUUCUAAUUUAGCUAAGCCUGUAGAAGUUUUUUUGGAAAAUCUUUUGGACGGGGUUUCAAUACUCCCAUCUCCACCA